rnacentral:rRNA from 1 species
AUGCUUAGUUUUCAGGGCCUCCACAACAGGGCCUGGGUGGGAGAUAUCCAGGGCGCCUUGGGGCCGGCUGCGAUGGUUCAAUAUGUCGAGCUUUGGCGCGCGCCGCAGCCCGUCACCCUAUCUGUCGACCCCGAUGUGCUGCGCUGGAAGUGGACUGAUUCGGGCAUCUACACUACGAGUUCCUGCUACCGAGCCAUGUUUGCUGGCUCUACCAUCGCGCCCAACUGGAAACUCAUCUGGCGCACGUGGGCCCCUCUGUGAAUCCGUGUCUUUGCGUGGCUCGCAAGCUAG